CCGGAUUUACUGGGCGUAAAGGGAGCGUAGACGGACUUUUAAGUGAGAUGUGAAAUACUCGGGCUCAACUUGAGAACUGCAACUAAAACUGGAAAUCUAGAGUGCAGGAGAGGAAAAUGGAAUUCCUAGUGUAGCGGUGAAAUGCGUAGAGAUUAGGAAGAACACCAGUGGCGAAGGCGACUCUCUGGACUGUAACUGACGCUGAGGCACGAAAGCGUGGGGAGCAAACAGGAUUAGAUACCC
rnacentral:rRNA from 1 species